rnacentral:lncRNA from 1 species
GACUUUCCUGGAGAAGACCACAGACCCUCGUACCAGUCUGGGACACUGAGAAAAACACCAGGAUCCCCAGCCCACCUUCCCUGCCCCGCUAGGAGCCGGGCUGUGGCUGCCCUGCCCUGCCGUUGCUUUGAGCCUUCGCUACGUUGUAGCCCUGCUCACCCUGCCUGCCCAGACCUCUGGGGGGGUUCCCCGUUUGGAUACAUCUCAUCUGCCACCCGGGAUUUGUGCCCCGCCGUUCCAGCCUGCCGUUCCAGCCUGCUGUUCCCGAGGGUCUGGCUGGACACCGGGCUCGGCUGCCCAGGGGUUUGUGAAGCUUCUUUGUUCCAUCUCUUCCCGGGAUCCCAGGGCACCGGUGCCGCGUGCUCCCCGAGCUCGCUCCGGAGCGCCCCCUGCAGCCGCGGGGGAACCAUCGCACCUGCCCUGCUCACCGGGAGCCGCCAGCGCCCCUGCCGGCUGCGAGCGGAACUGCACCCGAGGGGAAAGGGCCCGACAGCCGAGAAGGCUGGGACUGGGUUUGUGAUUGUUUGCUGUUACUGCCAUAGUUACUGUUGUUUGCCUUGUUAUACACAUAUAGAUAUAUAAUAGUAAAGAACUGUUAUUCCUGUUUUCCACAUCUUUGCCUAAAAGCCCCUUGAUUUCAAAAUUAUAAUAACUCAGAGGGAAGGGGGGUUGCAUCUGCCAUUCUAAGGGGGGCUCCUGCCUUCCUUAGCAGACGCCUGUCUUUCAAAGCAAGACACUGCCUUAUUGGAGACUGCAGCAAAUCCAGCAUGAUGAUCCAUUUGAUCCUGGUUUCAUUCAGUGACAUUGUGAGUGCUAAGACUGGAGGUUUAUCCUGAGUGCUGUGGGCAGUGGACAUUAUCAUGGGCCCCUGUAACAUGCAGAUAUCAAAUCAAGUGUGGGCUUGCACAGGUUACACUAUACAGGGUGUUUGGCCUUGGUGCUACAGGAGCUAAAACUGGGUCUGUGCCUGACUUGGUCACCUGCAGCACCACUGUGGUCCAGAGUGUGUGCGGGCUCCUAAACAAAUACCACUUUGUUUCCAUCAAAUUAGCCAGAGCACCCAUUUCAGCUUUGUCCCAGCUGCAGGAGGACAGAGAAUACUUGCUGUAGGAAUAAAAACCUGCCCAGACUGCACACUGUUGCCUGUGCUUCCUGAACAUAUGUAAAAAUCAGAGAGUGGACUUAUACUAGGGCAGCAUUUUGAGUUAUAUGGCAGUGGUGGUUUUAUAUCUUUUAUACUGCCUU